GGGGGGGUUGUAACUUUAUUGGCCGUAUUUUUUUUGUUUUUUUUCCUGAAUGUUUUAGAGUAAAAAGUGGUAACAGUUGUGGCUUCUGCUUUAGCCCCAUUCAACUGUGAACGGGCUGCUAAUAGAAAUGGUAGCCAAAUUUAAAGAAGACCCCUCUUAUUUCAAAGUCUAGGGAUGACAAAGACUCGACCAAGCUCAUGGCUUUCCUGGUGAGGAUCUCUGGAGGUCAGUCUUUUUUAUUUUUCUUUGUUGAUACACUGAUAUAAGGGUUUAUACCGAUUACACUUUCUGCAGGAGACAACUGCACAGCUGACUGUCUUAACUACAGCACACUGCUGUGAACAAUUAAUGGAUAUUCACGGAUAUACUAAGCAUGCAUCUACAGCCACUCAUUUGUCUGGCUGUUCAUUUUCUUUAGGUGUCUGACAUUACCCUCCAAUCAGCAGUCGGAGUGGGUGGGGACAGAGCUUACAGACCAAUUAACAAAGUCACAGUGGUUGGGGGUGGAGACUUGGCCAUGGCCUGCGUGAUGGGUAUUUUUGCAAAGGUACAAGAUGUUAUGAACUGUAACUAUGGGAACGAGGUAGACAUUAUUGAAGGUGUACUUGCUAGGGUUUUAAAAUACAUUUCAAAUCCUUUCAAACAAUAGUUACAUUUUACCGCGACCCUUUCCUAGAUCAAAAUAGCUGAAUGGUGUUUAUUUAUUCAUUCAUUCAUAGUAACUUCAAAAUAAACAAUGAGAAAUUCAUAAAAACGGUUUAUAGUUCAAUGUACAAAUUGUGCUUGAAAAACAUAACGUUGUUUUUCGAGCACGUUUUAACGUCUCAUUUAGUACAAAAUUGCAUUUUAGAUAAAAGGUGUAACAAAAGGGUGCAUUUGUCCUUCAUAUCAUUGUUUACACAUAUACUUAAUUGAAGUUGGUAGCCAGUUAUAGGUAUAGCUUUAUAACAGGGUGUUUAAUUAGUCCUCUAACUUGGAGUGACUCAUCUUUGUGUUUUGAAGGUCAUGUUUCCAAUGCAAACCUAACAGAAUAAUAUGGAUUUCUGCCUUGUUUCUCAGAGCAGUGUGGAUAAGCUGGUGUUGAUCGAUGUCUCAGAAAGCGGCUUUAAAGGAGGAACCGUGGACCUGGAGAUCUUCAGCCUGCCGAAGCCAGAGGUCUGCAGAGAUUUCUGUGCCAGUGCGGGUUCCAGGGUUGUCGUGGUAACAGUAAACUCCUGGAGUAAUGACCAAUCGUGUGUGAGCAUUGUCCAGACCAACUUGGACCUGUCCCUAGGCAUCAUCCCCACUACAGCCCCAGUGCAGUGCUGCUCAUCACCUCCCAGCCAGUUGAGAUGCUGAAUGGAAAAGGGCAGUGGUCCUGGUCUGUGGGUCUGCCCAUAGCCGACCUGACACACAGCAUUCUGACAGACCUGAGGAAAACCCACUCCAUCUCCACACAGGCUAUCGUGCUGCUGUUCUUUGAAAUACACCCCAUUACAGUUGUUUUUAUAGCACUGUUACUGUAUAAUAAUUAUUGAUAAUGGAAAAAUAUUAGAGAAAGUAGUUGAACUGGUGAAACUAUGUAACUCAUUUUCACUACAUGAGAGUAGCUGUUAUGUAUUUCAAGAUAAUAUUGGACUCGGCUUUCGACAAGAUAAAAUGAAAUAGUGGUGGCAGGACCAGCGACACACAUCGACACACAUCGAAGUAAGGGCUGGUCCGGGAUCAGCAGACAGGCCGUCCUGAGCCUGCUAAUACCCGAAGAUACAGAACCAUUUCACAGGCUAAAGCUUCUACUAAUGUGCUUAAGUGUUCCCAGUACCUACUUAUAUUGCCUUGGGAUAUAGAGUGCCGAGAAAAAGUUUCUGAACCCCAAUGAUAACUAUAGAAAUUCCAUAGUGUUACCAUGAUAGCCUUCUUGAAUCAAGCCUUCUUUUCUUAAAUAUCCAAUAGGGUUUAAAUUAACCAAUUCCAUGUCUUUUGAAAUAGUGAUGUAUGCAUUAGACAAACAAUUAAGAUUCAGGGUAUGUGAAAAAGUGAAUCCCUCAUUUUAUCAGCUAAAUUAAGGGGGUAAUUAGAAUCAGGUGUUUAAAUAAUUAGGUAGAUCUUCAGGGGUGAGUUUGGGAGG